GCAGACACAUUCCAGCCAAUCAGCAGCAGACCCUCCCUCCCAGACCCUCCCAACUCUUGGACAGCUCACUAAGAAUGCAGCUUCACAAUAAAAUGGAUGCUGUCCAGGAGGUGGGAGGGUCUGGGAGGGAGGGUCUGCUGCUGAUUGGCUGGAAUGUGUCUG
rnacentral:miRNA from 1 species